CCUACGGGGGGCAGCAGUGGGGAAUAUUGCACAAUGGGGGAAACCCUGAUGCAGCGACGCCGCGUGAGUGAAGAAGUAUUUCGGUACGUAAAGCUCUAUCAGCAGGGAAGAAAAUGACGGUACCUGACUAAGAAGCCCCGGCUAACUACGUGCCAGCAGCCGCGGUAAUACGUAGGGGGCAAGCGUUAUCCGGAUUUACUGGGUGUAAAGGGAGCGUAGACGGCAGCGCAAGUCUGGAGUGAAAUCCCAUGGCUUAACCAUGGAACUGCUUUGGAAACUGUGCAGCUAGAGUGCAGGAGAGGUAAGCGGAAUUCCUAGUGUAGCGGUGAAAUGCGUAGAUAGUAGGAGGAACACCAGUGGCGAAGGCGGCUUACUGGACUGUAACUGACGUUGAGGCUCGAAAGCGUGGGGAGCAAACAGGAUUAGAUACCCGGGUAGUC
rnacentral:rRNA from 1 species